rnacentral:rRNA from 1 species
UACGUAGGGGGCAAGCGUUGUCCGGAAUCAUUGGGCGUAAAGAGCUCGUAGGCGGUUCGUCGCGUCGGCUGUGAAAACCCGGAGCUCAACUCCGGGCCUGCAGUCGAUACGGGCGGACUCGAGUUCGGCAGGGGAGACUGGAAUUCCUGGUGUAGCGGUGAAAUGCGCAGAUAUCAGGAGGAACACCGGUGGCGAAGGCGGGUCUCUGGGCCGAUACUGACGCUGAGGAGCGAAAGCGUGGGGAGCGAACAGG